CCUGAUAAGCCCUGCUGAGGUAAGUGAAUCUCUCUGCAUCGCUUAGUUCAGAUGGUCUCAAAUGCCUAAAUAUCUGAGUCAGGCUGACCCAUCAGCAAGUGUAUAAUUGUCAACUCCGAGAGGGGGCAGCCCACUGCAUCUCUGAUUGCUUGUCAUGGCAGACACCUGGAGAUGGAGAAGGCCCAGCACGCAGCAGGAUGCGAGCUCCCCCACCCCUGGCCAAAUCAGCGGAUAAAAACCAAAAAACUGAAGCCAGAGUUCCAUCAAGUCAUGCUCUCGAAUUGAUCGCAGAGAGCUGGGAGGAUCCUUGUUCUCUCACAAGAUCCGAAAAGUGUCUCCAAUGAUCUCCAGGUCACUGAAUGUGGAUUUCUUCAGCAAGAAACAGUUCAAGUCCAGCUACUGGGUGUCUCAGGCCCGCAAGAUUCCAACUCAAGACAUCUAUACUCAG